rnacentral:rRNA from 1 species
UAGGGAAUCUUCCACAAUGGGCGCAAGCCUGAUGGAGCAACACCGCGUGAGUGAAGAAGGGUUUCGGCUCGUAAAGCUCUGUUGUUAAAGAAGAACACGUAUGAGAGUAACUGUUCAUACGUUGACGGUAUUUAACCAGAAAGCCACGGCUAACUACGUGCCUG